rnacentral:rRNA from 1 species
AAGCCCGGGGCUCAACCUCGGAACCGCAUUUGAAACUGGCAGGCUAGAGUCUUGUAGAGGGGGGUAGAAUUUCAGGUGUAGCGGUGAAAUGCGUAGAGAUCUGAAGGAAUACCAGUGGCGAAGGCGGCCCCCUGGACAAAGACUGACGCUCAGAUGCGAAAGCGUGGGUAGCAAACAGGAUUAGAUACCCUGGUAGUCCACGCCGUAAACGCUGUCUACUUGGAGGUUGAGGUUUAAGACUUUGGCUUUCGGCGCUAACGCAUUAAGUAGACCGCCUGGGGAGUACGGCCGCAAGGUUAAAACUCAAAUGAAUUGACGGGGGCCCGCACAAGCGGUGGAGCAUGUGGUUUAAUUCGAUGCAACGCGAAGAACCUUACCUACUCUUGACAUCCAGAGAACUUUCCAGAGAUGGAUUGGUGCCUUCGGGAACUCUGAGACAGGUGCUGCAUGGCUGUCGUCAGCUCGUGUUGUGAAAUGUUGGGUUAAGUCCCGCAACGAGCGCAACCCUUAUCCUUGUUUGCCAGCACGUAAUGGUGGGAACUCCAGGGAGACUGCCGGUGAUAAACCGGAGGAAGGUGGGGACGACGUCAAGUCAUCAUGGCCCUUACGAGUAGGGCUACACACGUGCUACAAUGGCAGAUACAGAGGGCAGCGAAGCUGCGAAGUGGAGCGAAUCCCUUAAAGUCUGUCGUAGUCCGGAUUGGAGUCUGCAACUCGACUCCAUGAAGUCG